GGAAGCGUGCCUGAGUUUUAAGGACUACUUUGAUAGAGUACCACACAGGGGAUAAACCCCCUCACUUCCYNNCCCC
rnacentral:tRNA from 1 species